CAUCGAUGUCGGCCUUGGGCAGGCUCACAUCCACAUCUGGACCUUCUCCUUUGAAGCCAGGCAUGCUGAAUUUGGGCAUUUUCACCUUGGGCAUCUUCAGGUGCCAGUCUGGACCCUGAACAUUAACAUCUGGGACAUCAAUGUCCACUUUGGGGCCUUUGAGGUCAACUUCAGGACCUUUCAGAUCUCCCUCUACCUUA
rnacentral:lncRNA from 1 species